GAUACUCCCGUGCUAGAGUAAUGGAGAGGUAAGUGGAAUUCUCGGUGUAGCAGUGAAAUGCGUAGAUAUCGAGAGGAACAUCAAUGGCGAAGGCAACUUACUGGACAUUCACUGACGCUCAGACACGAAGGCUAGGGUAGCGAAAGGGAUUAGAUACCCCUGUAGUCCUAGCAGUAAACGGUGCUCGCUUGGUGUGGGAGGGUUCGACCCCUUCUGUGCCGGAGCUAACGCGUUAAGCGAGCCGCCUGGGAAGUACGGUCGCAAGACUAAAACUCAAAGAAAUUGACGGGGACCCGCACAAGCGGUGGAGUAUGUGGCUUAAUUCGAUGCAACGCGAAGAACCUUACCUAGGCUUGACAUGCUUGUCGUAUUCUCCCGAAAAGGAGAAGUCGCUUCGGGCGGACAAUGCACAGGUGCUGCAUGGCCGUCGUCAGCUCGUGUCGUGAGAUGUUUGGUUAAGUCCAGCAACGAGCGCAACCCCUGUGAACUGUUGCCAGCGGAUAAUGCCGGGGACUCUGUUCAGACUGCCCAGAUCAACUGGGAGGAAGGUGGGGACGACGUCAGGUCAGUAUGGCCCUUACGCCUAGGGCUGCACACGUACUACAAUGCCCAGCACAAUGAGAACCAAUACCGUGAGGUGGAGGCAAUCUGUAAAACUGGGCCCAGUUCGGAUUGGAGGCUGCAACUCGCCUCCAUGAAGUUGGAAUCGCUAGUAAUGCCGUAUCAGCUACGACGGCGUGAAUACGUUCCCGGGUCUUGUACACACCGCCCGUCACAUCAUGGAAGUCGGUCGCACCCGAAGUAUAUGCGCUAACUCCUCGGAGAAGCAGUAUCCUAAGGUGAGGCUGGUAACUGGGAUGAAGUCGUAACAAGGUAACCAAGGGC
rnacentral:rRNA from 1 species